CACGUCAGCGCAAUGUGCUGACUCAGCAAGAAAUCGCUUCCUCUAAGAUGCGAUUUCCUAUUGAGUCAACACAUCGCGCUGACGUGA
rfam:Gossypium hirsutum cultivar TM-1 chromosome 22, whole genome shotgun sequence